rnacentral:rRNA from 1 species
CAGUAGCCGCGGUAAUGCGUAGGUGGCAAGCGUUGUCCGGAAUUAUUGGGCGUAAAGGGCUCGCAGGCGGUUUCUUAAGUCAGGGGUGAAAUCCCGAGGCUCAACCUCGGAACUGCCUUUGAUACUGGGGUCCUUGAGUCCGGAAGAGGUGAGUGGAGCUGCGAGUGUAGAGGUGAAAUUCGUAGAUAUUCGCAAGAACACCGGUGGCGAAGGCGGCUCACUGGUCCGGAACUGACGCUGAGGCACGACAGCGUGGGGAGCAAACAGGAUUAGAUACCCCGGUAGUCCCUGUCUCUUAUAC